UGUGUGUGUGUGUGCGAGCGCGCAGCGAGGGGAAGGCAGGGAUCCAGCUGCUCUUUCUCCCUCUGCGAACACAUGUGGCAAAACAAGUUGUUGCGGGUUCUGUAUGUGUUUGUGUGUGCAGUCCUCGUUAUAAAUGGCUAUUUUGAAUAAAAACGCAUGCAGAAGAAUGUAGCKAAAUGCCAUUCAUCGCGAUGACAUAUUUGAGCGAAAAGCGGCCGGAUAUGUUGAGGUGGUUCAAAGCAACGGUCACAGCGUGUCUUUGUCRUUUGGGGCGGUGAGUGAUUGUAGGAGGGAGGGAAGGUUGCCACCUCUUUCCUUGAGGAGUCCAGAGACACAGAGGGGCAGAGCCGCGCCGCAUGGAGUCGGCGCUAGGGAGGGAGGGAAGGACUGCUCCCCUCUCCGGAGGRCUGCAGGGCUGCUCCUCCGGCGCCUCCUCCGGCCCUGGCACCGGCCCCKGCCGCUCUCCCUGCCUCGCCAGAACGCAAAAACCCUCCCCCGCCGAUGCCGGAGACACUCGGCUUUCUAUCUGCAGCAUCAGCGAGAAAGCCUCGCUCGGCGCAGGCUCAGUGUUCACCGCCGCAGUCCCGGACGGAGGAGGGGGGCUCGGGAGCGCAGCAUCUUCGCAGCGGGUUAAGUAGGAUUAGUACCAAAUCCCUAUUAUAUUUGCCAAGCAACUUGAAUUUAUCAAAAUUCCCCCUCGCUGUUCUGGAGCUCCGAGAGGAGGAAAUUUUGCUCACAGUGUAAGAUCCAGACAUGCCAGUACGUACGAAUACCAGCAUACUGCAUUACACUGGCUCCCUGCACUGSAAAUACAACGGCGAGCCGCUGCUCCCGCUGUUCCCUUCCUCCCCUUUGUGUUUUUAAACGCAGCCAGGAAACUUAAUAUAUUCGCCAGGGAAGGGGCGGGAUGGGAGUGUUUUUAACCUCCCCGCCAUAAACUUUAAUCGGAUUCCGGGCUGUUGCACGGCAUGGACGCUCGCUUCUUGCCCGCGUCUCCUUCCCCGUUGUUUCUACUACGGUCUGCUUUGCGAGAGCCUCUUUCAAGYGAAUGAGUGAUUUCUUUCUCUUGCCAUGUGCAAUUACUCCCCCUUCCCUUCCUACCCUCGCUGGCCUCUCUUACACACACUAUGCCUUUCACACGCGGUCUGCGSCCCCCAGUCCCCCCCUCCCUUUCUCUCUUUUUUGCAGUGUCUUCACAUGCAAUCUCCCUCUGAAUGUGCAAUGUCUUUCCUGCUCGGGAGUGCUGCGUCCUUCACAGUGGAUUGGUUCCUCUUUCGGAGCAGAGGACAGUAUAAAAGAUCUGGCAUGUCUUCAUGAUUGUACUGUGUCAGCUGCCUGUUGAGCAGAAGAUAAAAUACCCAAGCCAAGAUGGGAACUCUGAGAAGUUCUGAAGAAGAACCUUCAAUAUUAUAAUUCUGACACUGUUAUGGAUAAUUGAAUUCURUGCAUCUUUAUUCCUUUCUAAACUACAAUACUCUGUAUUAUGGGAUCUCUCUUCUGGGACAUAGCAGUGUGAGCCGGAAGCUGCCAUGUUUGAACACAGAGGGAUGAAAGUUUGAUCUGAAUAGAGAGAAAAGGAUGAAGAAAUCUUAUUGACUGUUCCAGUUCACAAUUUUCCAGCGUGCUUCUUAUGGCGAAAGAAACUGAUUUCAAAGGGAAGAAAGAAAGGAAGAAGAAAUGUCUCUGUCAAGCAUUGCUGGAAUGAGUGACUUGCUGUUCUAAACAUAAUGGAAAUGUUUCAAUUUGCUGAGCCAACGAUUUAAAUUGAGGUGAUYGACAGUGCUGUGAUCAUCCAUCUCCAAAGGCCUUCGGCUGCCUGAGGAAGGCUAAGACCCUGGUUAUUGCACAAGUGAUGUUCAGGCAUUGGGGCAAGCAGACAACAGAGAGAAGGAGGACAUGAGCUGAGACUGAUUGUCCUUUGGUCACCMUUCUCAAGAGGACUCAUUGCGAAGUUUCUGCACAGCAGAAAGGAUGAUUCUAYCUUCAAGGCACCAGCUAGCAAUUAACAUUUGCAAUAUCACAGUAUAACUUUAAUGGAGGUGUGAAAUCCUCCUCUGGACCCACCCCAGGAGCUCCACGUCUCUCUUGUACUGAGGAGCCCAGAACUGGACACAAUACUCCAGCAGCCUUACAGGUGCCAAGGCCCGAGGUUGGCUGAUUCUGUGUUUGGAAACAUAAGAGAUAAUGAUGAUUGUUUCAGAAAGGAAAUUAAGUACCUGCCUUAUACUGAAUAUACAGGUCCGUAUCUCUGCAACCUGUGAGUGAUUAUGACAAUUUACUGACAAAAAAGCAGAAUAUCACAGCAGGAACAYGGAGCAUAUAUUCUUGUUUCAGAUUUCUGCUGGCCUAGAAUAGAAGACUGAUAGACUGUUCCUCUGGGGAAAAGAGAAGAAAAGAGUAAUAACUAUUUUAAAAGAAGCUUAUAUGCCAAACAGUAUGUAACAUCUAGAGAAGUUGCCGAGUGGAAUUUUUGUGGAGAAGUGACUCUGAAYUUGAACUGUUACCAGGCACUGCUGACUACCUAUAGAUGAAGAAGACUAGUUUUUGACUUUAUCUCAUCCCCUAACAUAUGUUUUUUUUGGAACUGGGUAUUAGUAACUAAGACAUAUUUUUGUGGCAAUACCACUGAUGGAAAAUGAAUUCAUUGAGAAAAAUGUAAUACAUCAAAAAAUGACACCUUUCAUACUCAUCCACAAAUUCAAAGGUUUGACUAUACAUUCUACUGUUGUUUAAGUCCUUCACGGUAUUUAGCAUGAGUGGUUAUAAGAAAAGGGAUAUCUUCCCUGUCUAUUAAUUACAUAGGUGUCCAAAGGCAGAAUAUUUUAGCUAUUUCAUAUUUUCUUCAGUAUUUAAAUAAAAUCCAGAAAGAGUUUCAAAUAAAUUCUGAGKUUUUUCUCAGUCAAAAUUCCUUUGUUUGGAGAUGUUAUAAUAUAUCAAAGACUUUCUGAUAUUUGAAUUUUCUGUCAAAAUUUCCUAGCCAUAAUAAGAUAUUCAUUUCUCCUACGGUAAUUCUCAGUUGCAUCACAAGUUGAAUCAUUCUUGCAAAUUUGUGRUACCCAAAAUUCAAAUAAAGCCUGGAUGAAGUUGUCCCCCUYUAAUUAGUAAAACAGAAAAUUAAURAAAAUKAAUAUCAAACUGUCUGUGGAGUCUGUGAGAAUCUAUGGGAAAUAAGAYAUCUGAGAACAGAGGUUCUUCAGUCUAGUAAACACAUGCACUAUAUACUUGUGAAUUUGUAUUUGUAUGCAUUUUAUUUUGUCUGUAAAGGACAAGACUGAUGUAAUUAAUUUUUUUUCUGUUUUUGGAGGAUUGUAAAUCUAUGUCUGUUGUUUUAGAAGUAAACACAUUGUUCUGUUUUGUAUUGAUUUUAGACAUAUUU